ensembl:lincRNA 2310047D07Rik RIKEN cDNA 2310047D07 gene
CCAAUAAACGUGUGCAGAAGGAUCCUGUUGCAGCGUUACUGCUGGCCAGUCUGGAGCGCACAAGACCUGCCAUAGGUUACUGGCCUUUUAAUUGACAGCUGGGAGAUCUUCUCCUGAAGGGCAGGCUCCACACAGCACAGUUUCCUCACUGCCAAGUGCUCUUUGGGUGUCCGUCUCUGCCAUCAGUAUUUUUAGCAUAUGCCCUUUGGAGCCCGAAGAACAGCAUCCACCUCCCAGAACUGGUCCUCCAGCUGACAGAUAGGACUGCACGAAAGAGGGCACUUCAGAGGCCAACCGAGUCGGUGCAAAUCAGAUGCUAACGGCAACCCCUCCGCCCAGAAAUCCCAAGUGGAAGGACGCCUCUCGUGAAAUUGCCUUCCGUGACAGUUACAGACAGCCUGAAGGGAAUACCUGUCCAGGUGAUACGGGACAAGAAAAACACCACGAUGUAAGCAUCGUUUCUACAGAUCUCACAACAGGCCCCAAGCCAACCCCGUUGGGAUUCGUAUCAUGCUUUGUUGCACCAGAUGAAGUCUGAUCUGGGACCGUGCCAGAAAACACGGAAGGAAGACGAGAAAGGGUGAAGAGCUUCUAAAUUAGAUUCUGCUGGGGCCAGGAAAGCAGACACGACUGCCGUGGAGAAGGUCAAUGCAAGCAUUUUAAAAUCGUGUCUUCCUUUUCAUGAUAAUCAAACAUUAAAAUGAGUGCAUUCUCUGCUCUCUGGAAAAUACUGUC